rnacentral:rRNA from 1 species
CCGGCGACCGGCGCACGGGUGAGUAACACGUAUGGAACCUGCCCUAUGCAGGGGGAUAAGCGGAAGAAAUUCCGUCUAAUACCGCAUAACACCUUUAGGAGACAUCUUCUUGGGGUCAAAGGAGGCGACUCCGGCAUAGGAUGGCCAUGCGUCGCAUUAGCUAGUCGGCGGGGUAACGGCCCACCGAGGCGACGAUGCGUAGGGGUUCUGAGAGGAAGGUCCCCCACACUGGUACCGAGACACGGACCAGACUCCUACGGGAGGCAGCAG